GACGAACGCUGGCGGCGUGCUUAACACAUGCAAGUCGAACGAUGAAGCCGGAGCUUGCUCUGGUGAAUUAGUGGCGAACGGGUGAGCAACACGUGAGUAACCUGCCCUUGACUCUGGGAUAACUGCGGGAAACUGUAGCUAAUACCGGAUACGACCCUCGGAGGCAUCUCCUGGGGGUGGAAAGAAUUUCGGUCAAGGAUGGACUCGCGGCCUAUCAGCUAGUUGGUGAGGUAAAGGCUCACCAAGGCGACGACGGGUAGCCGGCCUGAGAGGGUGACCGGCCACACUGGGACUGAGACACGGCCCAGACUCCUACGGGAGGCAGCAGUGGGGAAUAUUGCACAAUGGGCGCAAGCCUGAUGCAGCAACGCCGCGUGAGGGAUGACGGCCUUCGGGUUGUAAACCUCUUUUAGCAGGGAAGAAGCGAAAGUGACGGUACCUGCAGAAAAAGCACCGGCUAACUACGUGCCAGCCGCCGCGGUAA
rnacentral:rRNA from 1 species